UACGUAGGGUGCAAGCGUUAAUCGGAGUUACUGGGCGUAAAGCGUGCGCAGGCGGUUUUGUAAGUUUGUCGUGAAAGCCCCGGGCUCAACCUGGGAAUUGCGAUGAAGACUGCAAGGCUUGAAUCUGGCAGAGGGGGGUAGAAUUCCACGUGUAGCAGUGAAAUGCGUAGAGAUGUGGAGGAACACCGAUGGCGAAGGCAGCCCCCUGGGUCAAGAUUGACGCUCAUGCACGAAAGCGUGGGGAGCAAACAGG
rnacentral:rRNA from 1 species